GAUGAACGCUGGCGGCGUGCUUAACACAUGCAAGUCGAACGGAAAGGGCUUUUUCCGGUGGGGGGCGGGUGAGGAACGCGUAAGAACCUCCCUUGGGUAGGGGACCAACGGCUGGAAGCGGCCGCUAAUACCCCGUGGCUGGAGGAGCAAAGGAGGGACUCCGCCUGGGGGGGGGUUGGCUUCUGUUUAGGUAGUUGGGGGGGCACUACCUUACCAAGCCGUUGGUCGGUGGUGGGUCCGAGAGGAGGAUCGGCCACAGUGGGACGGGGACACGGACCAGACUCCUACGGGAGGCAGCAGUGGGGAAUUUUCCGCAAUGGGCGACAGCCUGAAGGAGCAAUGCCGCGUGGAGGUAGAAGGCCUAGGGGUCGUGAACUUCUUUUCCCGGAGAAGAAGCAAUGACGGUAUCUGGGGAAUAAGCAUCGGCUAACUAUGUG
rnacentral:rRNA from 1 species